rnacentral:rRNA from 1 species
UACGUAGGGUGCGAGCGUUGUCCGGAAUUAUUGGGCGUAAAGAGCUCGUAGGCGGUUUGUCGCGUCUGCUGUGAAAUCUGGAGGCUCAACCUCCAGCCUGCAGUGGGUACGGGCAGACUAGAGUGCGGUAGGGGAGAUUGGAAUUCCUGGUGUAGCGGUGGAAUGCGCAGAUAUCAGGAGGAACACCGAUGGCGAAGGCAGAUCUCUGGGCCGUAACUGACGCUGAGGAGCGAAAGCGUGGGGAGCGAACAGG